rnacentral:misc_RNA from 1 species
UAUUCUCAACCCUCCUGCGGUUUUUGUUUUUGCAAAGUCUGCAGGCUGGGAUUGGACUUGGAGGUCUUAUUGCUGAGCUUCGUUUUUUUUGAAGCUUGGCUCCUCUGAAAUGCAUUAGCUUGAACAAUUUUUACCCAAGCAUGAUCCAGCGUGAUAAUUGUCUACGCUGCCUCAUCGUGGUGAAGCAACCUCGGUUGUUUGUUUGUCCAGGCUUCGAACUGUCUCCUCCGGGGACAAAACUCAUCUGAAC